CCUACGGGUGGCAGCAGUGAGGAAUAUUGGUCAAUGGACGGAAGUCUGAACCAGCCAUGCCGCGUGCAGGAAGACGGCUCUAUGAGUUGUAAACUGCUUUUGUACAAGAGUAAAACUGAACACGUGUAUUCAGCUGAAAGUACUGUACGAAUAAGGAUCGGCUAACUCCGUGCCAGCAGCCGCGGUAAUACGGAGGAUCCAAGCGUUAUCCGGAUUUAUUGGGUUUAAAGGGUGCGUAGGCGGAUUGUUAAGUUAGGGGUGAAAUGUUCGAGCUUAACUCGGGAACUGCCUCUGAUACUGGUGGUCUUGAGUGUAGAUGCGGUAGGCGGAAUGUGUGGUGUAGCGGUGAAAUGCUUAGAGAUCAUGCAGAACACCGAUUGCGAAGGCAGCUUACCAAUCUACAUCUGACGUUGAGGCACGAAAGCGUGGGUAGCAAACAGGAUUAGAUACCCCAGUAGUC
rnacentral:rRNA from 1 species